rnacentral:rRNA from 1 species
GACGAACGCUGGCGGCGUGCUUAACACAUGCAAGUCGAACGGUAAGGCCCUUCGGGGUACACGAGUGGCGAACGGGUGAGUAACACGUGGGUGAUCUGCCCUGCACUUCGGGAUAAGACUGGGAAACUGGGUCUAAUACCGGAUAGGACCACUGCCUGCAUGGGGGGUGGUGGAAAGCUUUUGCGGUGUGGGAUGGGCCCGCGGCCUAUCAGCUUGUUGGUGGGGUGAUGGCCUACCAAGGCGACGACGGGUAGCCGGCCUGAGAGGGUGACCGGCCACACUGGGACUGAGAUACGGCCCAGACUCCUACGGGAGGCAGCAGUGGGGAAUAUUGCACAAUGGGCGCAAGCCUGAUGCAGCGACGCCGCGUGAGGGAUGACGGCCUUCGGGUUGUAAACCUCUUUCAGCACCGACGAAGCGCAAGUGACGGUAGGUGCAGAAGAAGGACCGGCCAACUACGUGCCAGCAGCCGCAGUAA